rnacentral:lncRNA from 1 species
CUGGGGCAGACCGUGAGAUGGGAGUCAUGAGUAGGAAGAGACCAUGGAAACUGGGUGGUCUAUUCUCUCAUUUGGUACACAAAUCCUACUCUAUGUACUCUGACAAUACUCAAGACACUUUCAGGGACCAGAAGUUUAGAUUUCCUCCCAAACUGCCCCACCUUCCCACUUAAACAAAAUAGACACACCAUAGGCCUCAGCUGGAAGAUUUUAUGUUUUAUAGCAAACCAUAUUGUACAAUUCCGAGAUCCAGGGGGCCUGGGGCCCAGCCCAGCCCAGCCCACUCCCCUUGCUCCCAUUUUCUCAGUUUCCUUUUCUGUGCCCUCAUCCUUCAAAUCCUCUAUAGUUCCAUCUCCAAACUGCUUCUCCCUACCCCAACCCUCCCCUCCCCUCCCGGCCUUUGGUCCACCUCUUCCCUCCCUCCCCCAAUCCUUUUUCCCUCCCUGUUACCUGAGGUAUGUGGUUCACUCUGUCCUCUCCCCUCCCCCCUCUCUCCCAAGUGGUUUAGUCCAUGUGGCCAGAGGAUAGCCUCCUCAGCCACUCCUCCCUUUGGGCUUGGGGUAUCUUUCCCAGGACAAACCCAUAGGUGGAGCUAGCUGCAGAGCUCCGAGCCACGCCUCUUGGGUGGAGAUUCAGGAGGAGUGGCUGUUACUAUAGUGACAGGGAUGAGUAAAAGAGGAGAGAAAGGGAGAAAAAAAAAACCCUGGAAAUUCCCAUGGCAACCUAGAGGGGCCUUUCCAGCUGGGACACUAGCUUUGGGAGUGUGUCCAUUGGCUGCUACUUCCUUGGCAACCAGGAGUGGCAUUUCCCUGGGCAAAUGGGAUGCAAGUUUCCACGACAACAAAAGGGGUGGGAAAAAACCAGCUUUGGGGAAUCCCUUCUCCCCAUCACUGGCUGUCUGGCCCUGGGGGAGGGUAGGAGAGGAUAGAUACAGUAAAAGUAAGACCGGAAAUGUCCCAGUCCAAAUUGCCAACGACCCAAUCCAAACUGGUAACUUCCCCCGACCCCUUUCCCCUUCCCCAACUCCCACCUCCCCAUCCCCAAAGUCCCCUAAGUUCAAGUAACACUUCAGUACAGAUGAAUGUUCAAGUAUUUUUCUGGGAAGUGGGGUAGUCUGGAGAUCCCUCACUUCCCUAGCAGGGCCCCCGAUUCCCUGUACAGCAGUAAAGGCCCCUGUCCUCUCCCCACCUCCACAAUUAGCUGCCAUGUCAGUGACGGUUCAAGAGUUGGAGAGGGGAGAGGAAGGGACAAUCUUAGGGUGAUAAGGAUGGAAGAGGAGAGCCCUUGGCCUGCCUGAUGCUCCCCCAUAGCUUGCUCCCAUCCCCUCCCUUCCCUCUGUAGCCUCACCUCAUCCCUCUUUCCCCAACCCCAAUUUUAGUUCCCUUUGAGCUGCCCUCAAUCUGACACCCGUUUC